rnacentral:rRNA from 1 species
UACGAAGGGGGGCUAGCGUUGCUCGGAAUCACUGGGCGUAAAGGGUGCGUAGGCGGGUCUUUUAAGUCAGGGGUGAAAUCCUGGAGCUCAACUCCAGAACUGCCUUUGAUACUGAAGAUCUUGAGUUCGGGAGAGGUGAGUGGAACUGCGAGUGUAGAGGUGAAAUUCGUAGAUAUUCGCAAGAACACCAGUGGCGAAGGCGGCUUACUGGUCCGGUUCUGACGCUGAGGCGCGAAAGCGUGGGGAGCAAACAGG